UCUUCUCUGGUGAUUAAUGAAGUUCGUCUUUAGAAUUUCGUUGCUUAGCGAGUGGGUAGAUAGUAACGAAAGAUUAAAUGUUGACAUUCUAUCGCAACAUGCAACGCAAGAGCGUGUUUGCAAACAUCUAGUUGACAUUGUUUCGCGAAUGAAACGUUUUCAUUGGCGAGAAGGAUUGUUUAAAUUUGGAACAUUGCACCAAUUGAAUAACAAAGGCCACCAUUACAACUGAAGUGGAAUCGAUUUUGACCACGAAAACAAAACUUGAACUUUGCCCAAAUAAGAGGGGAAGCAAUUAAUAACAAAGACAGAGGCAAGCGAAGCGGCAUAGAACGAGCUACACCAACAAGCAGCUGUUAGAGUUGGAGAAAGAAUUUCAUUUCAACAAAUAUCUA
rnacentral:misc_RNA from 1 species